rnacentral:rRNA from 1 species
UGCAGUCGAACGCUGAAGCUCCAGCUUGCUGGGGUGGAUGAGUGGCGAACGGGUGAGUAAUACGUGAGUAACCUGCCCUUGACUCUGGGAUAAGCCUGGGAAACCGGGUCUAAUACUGGAUACGACGUCCUACCGCAUGGUGGGGGGUGGAAAGGGUUUUACUGGUUUUGGAUGGGCUCACGGCCUAUCAGCUUGUUGGUGGGGUAAUGGCCUACCAAGGCGACGACGGGUAGCCGGCCUGAGAGGGUGACCGGCCACACUGGGACUGAGACACGGCCCAGACUCCUACGGGAGGCAGCAGUGGGGAAUAUUGCACAAUGGGCGCAAGCCUGAUGCAGCGACGCCGCGUGAGGGAUGACGGCCUUCGGGUUGUAAACCUCUUUCAGCAGGGAAGAAGCCACAAGUGACGGUACCUGCAGAAGAAGCGCCGGCUAACUACGUGCCAGCAGCCGCGGUAAUACGUAGGGCGCAAGCGUUGUCCGGAAUUAUUGGGCGUAAAGAGCUCGUAGGCGGUUUGUCGCGUCUGCUGUGAAAGCCCGGGGCUCAACCCCGGGUCUGCAGUGGGUACGGGCAGACUAGAGUGCAGUAGGGGAGACUGGAAUUCCUGGUGUAGCGGUGAAAUGCGCAGAUAUCAGGAGGAACACCGAUGGCGAAGGCAGGUCUCUGGGCUGUUACUGACGCUGAGGAGCGAAAGCAUGGGGAGCGAACAGGAUUAGAUACCCUGGUAGUCCAUGCCGUAAACGUUGGGCACUAGGUGUGGGGGACAUUCCACGUUCUCCGCGCCGUAGCUAACGCAUUAAGUGCCCCGCCUGGGGAGUACGGCCGCAAGGCUAAAACUCAAAGGAAUUGACGGGGGCCCGCACAAGCGGCGGAGCAUGCGGAUUAAUUCGA